UCACCAAUAGAAGAACCUGAUACACCAGUGAUCAGUCUUCAGCUGCUACACACCGGAGACAGACAUACAAAUCUUUCUUAUCCCUUCAGGAGUGCAAGGGGAAAAAAACGCAAGAAACAUGGAUCCCAAAAAUUCUCCAACAGAAGCAGGGCAGCCUUUACUUCCACUGCAGGAGGAUCCUCCAGAGUACUCCAGUCAUAAAUUCCCUCCUUCUGAGAUCUAUCCCAGCACUUCAGGUCAACCUGCCCAGCAGUAUAGAGCUCCGGCAGCACCUGGUCAGUGCAUCCAAGUGCCAUAUCCAGGGCAGACUGUGGUCACUGUACAGCCUCCAGUUAAUGUGUCCUUCACUCCACUGGCCAAUCCACAGCCAGAUUACCUGUGCUAUUCCAUCUUUACCAUGCUGUGCUGCUGCUUACCUCUGGGAUCGGCUGCUCUUGUUUACUCCAUCACAACUCGAGAUGCUAACAUGUUUGGACACCAACCAAUAGCAAGCAGGAACUCCAGAAUGGCUCGCAUUCUUAACCAUGUCAAUGUUGGUGUUGGCCUCCUCGUCUGGUUGAUCGUUGUCAUCUAUGUCAUUCUUGUUGUCAUCGCAAUUACAAACACUAGAAGUUACUAUAACAAUAACUAUAGACCAUAAGUGUAAGAAAUAUCAUGGUAGGACAGGGUUUUACAAACAUGAACACAUUAUGUUUUGAAUACACAGGCAUUUGGUUUUCUUCUUUUAAAUGUAGUGUUGCUCAAGUUAUUGAUAUGAGAGCUGUAAGACUCUAUAGCCUAGGCUUAAGCCUUGUCUGUGAAACCAGGCACAAAUGCAUAAGGAGCUCCAUCUAUAGGGCCAGAGAGGAAUGAUUCAGUAUGUUUAAUGUAACUGACAUGUCUGCCUUAUCGUUAUUAUUUGCAUAAUUAAAACACAUGCAUUUUUUAUUGUAUUUUUAAAACCUUGAAAGAUUUGACUGUAAAUGUAUCAUCAAUUAAAACAUUUGUUUUUCUUCUUGUCUUAAUGUUACAUAAUAAAACUGAGUAAUCAAUAACGUAAAUGUA